AGGGUGCGUUUGUUGUACCGGACUAUCUCGGACUGGAUUAGCUUUAGGGACUAACCAGGACUGGCUUAGACUAGAUUAAGCUGGACUAACUUAGUAAAGCGUUUGGUGCAGUGUCGGACUAAAAAGCUGGAUAAUAACAAAUUCUAAUAUCAUAUUAUUUAAUUCAUAUUUAUUAAUAUUUUAUAUUAUUUAAUACAUAUUUAGUAUUAUUUUAUUCUUACUACUGUCUGGCUUUUUCAUUCUAGAAACCUCCCAUCUUUACUCCCAAUUCUUUUCCGCUAAUCCCCCCUUUUCUUCCUUAUUUUGCUCCGUCCCUCUCCCUCUGAUUCUUCCAAAUUUUUAUCACUCGCUUCAUCUCCAUCUUUUUCUUCGUAUUUCUUUCCGUUCAUCUUCCUCUUUUCUUCCUAAUUUUUCUGGGAAGCAAUUGGCGAAUCAAAACCCAAAUCAAAGUCUAAGUCAUCUGGGUAUUCAUGGGUCUGCUUCUCCGGCGUCAAUGGUGAAGGUCUGCGAUCAGGGAGUCUGGACUAGGAUCUGGAUUUGGAAAUGGUAGAUGAAAGGGGCGAAGCAGGGGCAUAGUUUAUAUAUUGGACCUGGGUUCCGAAUCUUGUGAGGGACAAGUAGAUGGGAGGGGCGAAGCGAGGAGGGACGAAGCAGGGAGGAGUUGGCUUAGCAGUCCGGCAGAUUUUGGGGGGUUUCGCUAAGACCCUUUAGCGAAGUGCCUAGUCCCAUUUAGUCGGGACGAGUCUCAUUAAAGCUUGUCCCGGUUUGUAUCAAACACAGGACUAGACUACCCCUUAGUCCAGUCCAAUCUAGUGAAAGUUA